rnacentral:rRNA from 1 species
GAUGAACGCUGGCGGCGUGCCUAAUACAUGCAAGUCGAGCGAACGGACGAGAAGCUUGCUUCUCUGAUGUUAGCGGCGGACGGGUGAGUAACACGUGGAUAACCUACCUAUAAGACUGGGAUAACUUCGGGAAACCGGAGCUAAUACCGGAUAAUAUUUUGAACCGCAUGGUUCAAAAGUGAAAGACGGUCUUGCUGUCACUUAUAGAUGGAUCCGCGCUGCAUUAGCUAGUUGGUAAGGUAACGGCUUACCAAGGCAACGAUGCAUAGCCGACCUGAGAGGGUGAUCGGCCACACUGGAACUGAGACACGGUCCAGACUCCUACGGGAGGCAGCAGUAGGGAAUCUUCCGCAAUGGGCGAAAGCCUGACGGAGCAACGCCGCGUGAGUGAUGAAGGUCUUCGGAUCGUAAAACGCUGUUAUUAGUGAAGAACAUAUGUGUAAGUAACUGUGCACAUCUUGACGGUACCUAAUCAGAAAGCCACGGCUAACUACGU